rnacentral:rRNA from 1 species
GAUGAACGCUGGCGGCGUGCUUAACACAUGCAAGUCGAACGAAGCGCUUGGAUGGAAUUCUUCGGAAGGAAGCUCAAGUGACUGAGUGGCGGACGGUGAGUAACGCGUGGGUAACCUGCCUCAUACAGGGGGAUAACAGUUAGAAAUGACUGCUAAUACCGCAUAAGCACACGUGAUCGCAUGAUCGAGUGUGAAAAACUCCGGUGGUAUGAGAUGGACCCGCGUCUGAUUAGCUAGUUGGUGGGGUAACGGCCCACCAAGGCGACGAUCAGUAGCCGGCCUGAGAGGGUGAACGGCCACAUUGGGACUGAGACACGGCCCAAACUCCUACGGGAGGCAGCAGUGGGGAAUAUUGCACAAUGGGGGAAACCCUGAUGCAGUGACGCCGCGUGAAGGAUGAAGCAUUUCGGUAUGUAAACUUCUAUCAGCAGGGAAGAAAAUGACGGUACCUGACUAAGAAGCCCCGGCUAACUACGUGCCAGCAGCCGCAGUAA